CCCCCCGCCGGGGCCACCUGCACCUCGAAGGGGCUGCGGGGGAUGGGCUGUCCGCCGUAGGUGACGCUGACGCUGUGCGCUCCGGGCACAGUGGGGGUGUAUUCGCAGCCAAACACCCCCUCCCCCAAAUCCUUCUGCUUCACCGCCUCCGCGCCCUUGGGCCCUUUGACGGCGACCUUCAGCUCGCCGCUGCCCGCCCCUUUGGUGUACACCUUGAAGUCCGCCGCCUCCUUCACCCGCAGCCCCUUCGGCUGCAGCCCCCUCCCCUCAGCGCGGCACUGCGACGGGUUACACGCCUGCCCCACGCCGACGGCGAAGGGGCUGCGCGGGAUGGGGGUCCCCCCGAAGGUGACCGCGACGCUGUGGGUCCCCUCCGCCGUGGGGCGGUACGAGCAGCGGAACGCGCCGUCGCCGCGCCCCUCCAACAGCGCCUCCACGCGGCGCCCGCCGGGAUCCGUCACCACCACGUCGGGGCUGCCCGGCCCGGCGCCGGCAGUGAGGAUGUCGAAGUGCGUGGUUCUGUUGGCCACGUUGCCGGUGGGCUCAAUGCCGGGCCCCUGCGCCGUCACACGGCCCGCAUCGCCGGCCGCGCGGCCCACCGCCACCUCGAAGGGGCUCUUGGCGAUGUGCUGCCCCGCAAACAGCACCGUCACCUUGUGCACGCCGGUCACUUUGGGCACGUAGGAGACGCUGAACGUCCGGUUCUUGUCGUUGUUCG
rnacentral:lncRNA from 1 species